GAAGAAGAAGAAGAAGAAGAAGAAGAAGAAGAAGAAGAAGAAGAAGAAGAAGAAGAAGAAGAAGAGACAUUCCUUUAUCCUUCAAAUUGUGUUUUGAUAAUUUUUAGGUUUGUACUCGGGCUGCAUAGUUAAUCGCAAUAUGAUGGGAAUCGCAGUAUGGCCAAGUGCAGUGUCCAAAUUGCAAGAAGCUUAAAUUUUUGAUAAAGGAUGAAAAGGACCUGAAUACUUCCUCCGCCGUUGCUCUGAUCUCAGAUAGGACAUCUGAGGUCAGGCAGUCACAGAGCAUCAGAGCAGAUCUGACACAGGAGCAUGCUGCAGAACAGCGCUGCUCUUCUCCUCCUCCUUUAUUCACGCAGAAAACGUCUCUCUCAAGAGUUUAUGAGGACAGUGACAGGCAGACUGAGCACCGGUGGUAUUUCAGGAUGCCGUUAAAACACACCGCGCUUCAGUACGCUGCGCUCCCUUGACUUCAUCAGGAUGAGGAGGGGUGCACUGAAGGUCACAGUGAAGGUCUGCAGUGUGUGUUGUCAGAGCAAGAAAGAAUAUUUGGUCUAUAGGUAUUACAGGUGACAUAAAACAUCAUUUUUACAGUGUCUUUUGCAUAACUCAGGGUUCUCAUUUUGCUAUUCUGUACAGUUGGCUUGAGCGUGCUGUAGGUACUUUCUGAAUUGCACCUGGAAUUUGUAUGUGGGAGCAGCCAAAAUAGAUUUUCCACUGCAGAGGAAAAAACAGGUCAAACCAAGCAGCAACAGACACAAAGGGCUGUCUUACAGGUCCAAAGGUCACAUGAAUGUUAAGCAGUCUAACCUUCAGGUUAGCCCUUUUCACUGUUGCCUGUUUUUCGUUUUAUGUAUUUCAAGUGUGAGUGUCGAAAGAAAUACACUGUUUACACUGUACCGCUGAAGUCUUGGCGUUCAAUAUAGACGUUGUAAAAGUUUUAAACACAAUUUAAGAAGUAAAUCGGUGACACUUUCGAUACGUACAUACAGCAUAUUUUUACCUGUUUCGAUUUAGGCUUAAAAUGUCAAGUGUGUGUCCUUUGUGACAUUGUUUAUUUCAAAUGUAAACAUUUUAAAAUUAGGAGAAUAGGAUGUGAAAUUGUAAGCAAUAUAAAGUUUCAUCAGGAAUUUAUUAUAUCAGUGAUGGAAUUUAUUAUAUCAGUGUGGCUUUAUACCGUUUUCAAGGUCGAUGGUAUGUGUUGACAUGAU